UACUAGAGUAGCACUCGCAUAUCAAUAAGCGGAGGAAAAGAAACUAACAAGGAUUCCCCUAGUAACGGCGAGUGAAGCGGGAAGAGCUCAAAUUUGAAAUCUUAAAGGGUUUCCCUUUACGAAUUGUAGUUUAAAGAAGUGUUUUCUGUUGAGGUUUUGGUAAAAGUUCUUUGGAAUAGGACAUCAUAGAGGGUGAGAAUCCCGUAUUUGACCUUUACUUUCAACUUUGUGAUACACUUUCAAAGAGUCGGAUUGUUUGGGAAUGCAGUCCAAAAUGGGUGGUAAAUUUCAUCUAAAGCUAAAUAUUGGCGAGAGACCGAUAGCGAACAAGUACCGUGAGGGAAAGAUGAAAAGAACUUUGAAAAGAGAGUUAAACAGUACGUGAAAUUGUCAAAAGGGAAGCGUUUGACACCAGUGUUGUUUUUCUGAAAAUCAAUUAAAGAACUGUUUAUGCUAAGCUGUUUAGACUUUAUCAGUUAUCUGUUUAGUUUUGAGCCUUUCUUUAAUGCACUUUUCAGUUAACAAGUCAACAUCAAUUUCUUUUGCUGUAAAAAAGCUUGAGGAAGGUGGCUUGAGAUUCGUCUUAAGUGUUUAUAGCCUCUUGCCUAUGCAGUCGGAGAGAUUGAGGUCUGCAGCGUAGAUCCUUCGGGGCUAAAUGCAUUUGUGCUAAGUUAUAGCAUUUUAUAGACAACUUGUUGACUAUGAUUUGUCUUGUAGCUUACUCGCUUAUGUUAUUUUACCUACGCUUAGGAUGUUGAGCGCAUGUCUCUCUCU
rnacentral:rRNA from 1 species